rnacentral:rRNA from 1 species
CCUACGUGUGGCUGCAGUGAGGAAUAUUGGUCAAUGGGCUUACGCCUGAACCAGCCAAGUCGCGUGAGGGAAGACUGCCCUAUGGGUUGUAAACCUCUUUUGUCAGGGAGUAACGCCGGCCACGUGUAGCUGGAUUGAGAGUAUUUGAAGAAAAAGCAACGGCUAAUUCCGUGCCAGCAGCCGCGGUAAUACGGAGGACGCGAGCGUUAUCCGGAUUUAUUGGGUUUAAAGGGUGCGUAGGGGGGAAGCCAAGUCAGCUGUGAAAACUACGGGCUUAACGUGAAAACUGCAGUUGAAACUGGUUUUCUUGAGUAAAGUUGAGGUUGGCGGAAUUCGGGGUGUAGCGGUGAAAUGCUUAGAUAUUCCGAAGAACACCGAUGGCGAAGGCAGCCGACUAGACUUUAACUGACACUGAGGCUCGAAAGUGUGGGGAGCAAACAGGAUUAGAUACCCCUGUAGUC